CUCAGAGCUGGAGUCGGUGAGGGAAAGGAGCGGGCAGGAGGUUGAGGCAAGAGGACAGUAAUCAUGUUGUUACAUUGACGUGUGUUAAUGGCAGAAUUCCCGCUGCUUCGGAACACUGCAAUUUCCACAUCUCCAGAGGAAGCAAAUGGGAAAAGAGGUUUCGAAAACGGCAUGUGUCAAAUUAAACGUCUGAGGUUUUUUUUCGGAGGUAAUUAGGCGAGGGAGGAGCACACGGAGGGGGUGCGCGUGAAAUAAAAACCCGUUUGCUGUUCACA